UGGACGGUAGCUCAAUGGCAGAGCAACGGACUGUUAAUCCGUCGGUUGGAGGUUCGAGUCCUCCCCGUCCAGCCA
rnacentral:tRNA from 1 species